rnacentral:rRNA from 1 species
CCUACGGGAGGCAGCAGUGAGGAAUAUUGGUCAAUGGACGCAAGUCUGAACCAGCCAUGUCGCGUGUAGGAAGACGGCCCUAUGAGUUGUAAACUUCUUUUGUACGAGGGUAAACGCAGACACGUGUACCUUUCUGAAAGUAUCUUACGAAUAAGGAUCGGCUAACUCCGUGCCAGCAGCCGCGGUAAUACGGAGGAUUCAAGCGUUAUCCGGAUUUAUUGGGUUUAAAGGGUGCGUAGACGGUCGGAUAAGUUAGUGGUGAAAUCUCGGGGCUCAACUUCGGAAUUGCCACUGAUACUGGUCGGCUAGAGAGUAGUUGCGGUAGGCGGAAUGUAUGGUGUAGCGGUGAAAUGCUUAGAGAUCAUAAAGAACACCGAUUGCGAAGGCAGCUUACCAAGCUACUUCUGACGUUGAGGCACGAAAGCGUGGGGAGCAAACAGGAUUAGAUACCCUGGUAGUC